rnacentral:lncRNA from 1 species
AAAGAUGUAAAGUAACUAUAGUUAGAUGUAAAGUAACUAUAGUAUAGAUUAAAGUAACCAUAGUAGGGUUACUUAUAUUUGUAUAAAUAGAUAGCCAUUAUGGCAUAGAUAGGCAAGACUUUCUUGACGGAAAGCAUAGCCUCCUUUGUAAACAAAUUACUCUCAAUAAAAAUAAAUCAGUUUUCAAGAUAAGCUAUGGAUCAAAAUAUUGCAGAUACUACACAGGUACAUAUAUUUAUGAUUAUGUGUAACUAAAAUCUAUUAAUUCCUGAAUAUCAUAAGCAUGAUUAAAUAAGUUUAUAUUAGUUAUUAUAUACUAGAAUUAUUUAAGCAUGUUUUUUAGUUUGUUAACAUGAGGAAAAAAGGAAAUACUUCCAGACUAUGCCAUCCUAAG